rnacentral:lncRNA from 1 species
UUUCUCUAUCCUCUUUCCUUUAUUCAUUAUCAGCGCCAAUGAAGCAAAGACCCCUGGCAAAGCAUAUCUCUUCCAGUUGCGCCUCUUCUCCUUGGUGGUCUUCUUAAGCAACAGACUCUUCCACAAGACAGUCUACCUGCAGUCGGCCCUGAGCAGCUCUACUUCUGCAGAGAAGUUCCCUUCACCGCAUCCGUCGCCUGCCAAACUGAAGGCUACUGCAGGUCACUGAGUUGCCUGCCAUCCAAAGGGGAUGGGCGGGAUUGGAAGAAGCUGUGGCAGCUCUUUUCCCUGUUCACCUCCCGCCUGCCAGGGAAGGCAGGACCCGCUCUGCCAAGGGCCCUCUGCGUAUUCCCUUCUCUCUGAGGAAUUGAAAUUUUUGUCUCUGGUGCACGUAAGGCAGAAUGUUCCCUGACACCAGUGUGUGGAUUUUUAACAUCACCGUGAGUCUGAAAGGACCACAGGUUUUUCUGCAGCUAUUUUCUAGCAUUUGCCAGUCCCUGUGCCUGGACUGAUUGGAACACUUUGUUUUUCUCCCUGUGCCAUUUACCCUUCCACCUUUCCAUCCUGCCUUCUACCACCCUUGGAUGAAUGGAUUUUGUAAUUCUAGCUGUUGUAUUUUGUGAAUUUGUUAAUUUUGUUGUUUUUCUGUGAAACACAUACAUUGGAUAUGGGAGGUAAAGGAGUGUCCCAGUUGCUCCUGGUCACUCCCUUUAUAGCCAUUACUGUCUUGUUUCUUGUAACUCAGGUUAGGUUUUGGUCUCUCUUGCUCCACUGC